rnacentral:rRNA from 1 species
CAGUCGAGCGAACGGACGAGAAGCUUGCUUCUCUGAUGUUAGCGGCGGACGGGUGAGUAACACGUGGAUAACCUACCUAUAAGACUGGGAUAACUUCGGGAAACCGGAGCUAAUACCGGAUAAUAUUUUGAACCGCAUGGUUCAAAAGUGAAAGACGGUCUUGCUGUCACUUAUAGAUGGAUCCGCGCUGCAUUAGCUAGUUGGUAAGGUAACGGCUUACCAAGGCAACGAUGCAUAGCCGACCUGAGAGGGUGAUCGGCCACACUGGAACUGAGACACGGUCCAGACUCCUACGGGAGGCAGCAGUAGGGAAUCUUCCGCAAUGGGCGAAAGCCUGACGGAGCAACGCCGCGUGAGUGAUGAAGGUCUUCGGAUCGUAAAACUCUGUUAUUAGGGAAGAACAUAUGUGUAAGUAACUGUGCACAUCUUGACGGUACCUAAUCAGAAAGCCACGGCUAACUACGUGCCAGCAGCCGCGGUAAUACGUAGGUGGCAAGCGUUAUCCGGAAUUAUUGGGCGUAAAGCGCGCGUAGGCGGUUUUUUAAGUCUGAUGUGAAAGCCCACGGCUCAACCGUGGAGGGUCAUUGGAAACUGGAAAACUUGAGUGCAGAAGAGGAAAGUGGAAUUCCAUGUGUAGCGGUGAAAUGCGCAGAGAUAUGGAGGAACACCAGUGGCGAAAGCGACUUUCUGGUCUGUAACUGACGCUGAUGUGCGAAAGCGUGGGGAUCAAACAGGAUUAGAUACCCUGGUAGUCCACGCCGUAACGAUGA